UAGUUCCGAUGUAGCUCGUACGCCGCCACCUCUUCCUCACCUUUCUUUGAUUCUCAAGAUCAACUUACUUCCAAAUCCUCAGCUCUCUCCCUUUAAUCAAAUCAACUACUCACCAACUCCUCUUCCAUGGUGUUGAAUGAUUUGCUCGAUCUAGCCGGAUUGCUGCAGCGCCCCGCCGAGAUACUCGUCUCCCUUCAGCCUCCAUCGCUGUUUAAGACGUUUUCUCCCUGCUUCUCCACCUUGAGCUAAGAUUUCUCCGCCUCGCCUCUCCUUCCCCACAGGUAACGUUUCCUUUGAACUCUAAAGUUCCUUCAUUGUUGUUUAAGAAAUAACCGGAGUACUUUAACUCAUUAUUUCUUCUGUGGCGAGGUUACAACAAUGACGUUACCUGUGGCGCUCCUGUCUUCUUAGGCGAUGUUUAAGAGAUCACAACAGAGAUCGAACUUAGGCCCGGGUUCAGACAUAAAGCGGCUUAUGAGUCCAACUGCAAAACCUAAAUCAGGUCUCGAUCCGACCAUUGCGUACAUAAGACUUCCUACCGCGCUUGCAUACGG